UUCGGAGUUAGUGGCGGACGGGUGAGUAACACGUGGGAACGUGCCUUUAGGUUCGGAAUAACUCAGGGAAACUUGUGCUAAUACCGAAUGUGCCCUUCGGGGGAAAGAUUUAUCGCCUUUAGAGCGGCCCGCGUCUGAUUAGCUAGUUGGUGAGGUAAAGGCUCACCAAGGCGACGAUCAGUAGCUGGUCUGAGAGGAUGAUCAGCCACAUUGGGACUGAGACACGGCCCAAACUCCUACGGGAGGCAGCAGUGGGGAAUCUUGCGCAAUGGGCGAAAGCCUGACGCAGCCAUGCCGCGUGAAUGAUGAAGGUCUUAGGAUUGUAAAAUUCUUUCAGUAGGGACGAUAAUGACGGUACCUACAGAAGAAGCCCCGGCUAACUUCGUGCCAGCAGCCGCGGUAAUACGAAGGGGGCUAGCGUUGCUCGGAAUUACUGGGCGUAAAGGGAGCGUAGGCGGACAUUUAAGUCAGGGGUGAAAUCCCGGGGCUCAACCUCGGAAUUGCCUUUGAUACUGGGUGUCUUGAGUGUGAGAGAGGUAUGUGGAACUCCGAGUGUAGAGGUGAAAUUCGUAGAUAUUCGGAAGAACACCAGUGGCGAAGGCGACAUACUGGCUCAUUACUGACGCUGAGGCUCGAAAGCGUGGGGAGCAAACAGGAUUAGAUACCCUGGUAGUCCACGCCGUAAACGAU
rnacentral:rRNA from 1 species